UACGGAGGGUGCAAGCGUUAAUCGGAAUUACUGGGCGUAAAGCGCGCGUAGGCGGUUAUGUCAGUCGGAUGUGAAAGCCCCGGGCUCAACCUGGGAAUUGCAUUCGAUACUGCAUGGCUAGAGUCUGGUAGAGGCUAGCGGAAUUCCAGGUGUAGCGGUGAAAUGCGUAGAUAUCUGGAGGAACAUCAGUGGCGAAGGCGGCUGGCUGGACCAAGACUGACGCUGAGGUGCGAAAGCGUGGGGAGCAAACAGG
rnacentral:rRNA from 1 species